rnacentral:lncRNA from 1 species
GGCGGCUCCCGCUGCAGCUCCGGCUCCGGCUCCGGCUCGCCCUCAGCAGCCGCCGCAGACGGGGGAGUCUUUUACAUCAUUAUCUCGGAGAGUAGGUUAUUAUGGAGAAGAGUCGCCUGUUGGGACAGAGCUUUCUACCCAAUCAGGUUAACGUUUUAAUUAAUAGGAUUAAAACGGUAACAAACAAUCCCAGGCGCUAUCUGGCCCCGAGUCUGAAUAGUUUCAUUUCCCAGGUCUGCAGGCAGGCAGCAGCCCGAGCUUUAUAAGCGGCGCCCGCUCCAUUAUUCUCGCUGCCAUCUGUAUACACAGCUUAACGCAUAUGUUUGCAAGACGUUGUGUCCUGUUAGUAACCCAACAACUGCCUUUAGCUUGACAUGUGUGGCGACUUUCACUCAUCAAUGAGCACACUAAAAGCCCUACUUAGAUCGAAGGAUGUUCUUUGCCUCCUUCAGCAAAUUGCAGCCCCGCGCCGCGCCGGAGCCGCCCGACUCCCGCUGCCUCGGCCGUGCGGGCGGAGGGACACCCUCUCCCC